rnacentral:rRNA from 1 species
UACAGAGGGGGCAAGCGUUAUUCGGAAUUAUUGGGCGUAAAGGGCGCGUAGGCGGCCCUUCAAGUCUCUCGUGAAAUCCCUCGGCUUAACUGAGGACGUGCGGGAGAUACUGUCGGGCUUGAGUCCGGAAGAGGGUGGUGGAAUUCCCAGUGUAGCGGUGAAAUGCGUAGAUAUUGGGAGGAACACCGGUGGCGAAGGCGGCCACCUGGGCCGGAACUGACGCUGAGGCGCGAAAGCGUGGGUAGCAAAC